rnacentral:rRNA from 1 species
CCUACGGGUGGCAGCAGUCGAGAAUCUUUCACAAUGGACGAAACUCUGAUCGUGCGACGCCGCGUGGAGGAAUGAAGGUCUUCGGAUUGUAAACCCCUGUCAGGUGGGAGCAAAUGAAAAAGAUAGUACCACAAGAGGAAGAGACGGCUAACUCGGUGCCAGCAGCCGCGGGAAUACUGAGGUCUCAAGCGUUGUUCGGAAUCACUGGGCGUAAAGCGUGCGUAGGCUGUUUCGUAAGUAGGGUGUGAAAGGCGCGGGCUCAACCCGCGGACGGCACAUGAGACUGGGAGACUAGAGUAAUGGAGGGGGAACCGGAAUUCUCGGUGUAGCAGUGAAAUGCGUAGAUAUCGAGAGGAACACUCGUGGCGAAGGCGGGUUCCUGGACAUUAACUGACGCUGAGGCACGAAGGCCAGGGGAGCGAAAGGGAUUAGAUACCCUAGUAGUC